rfam:Triticum urartu cultivar G1812 contig1142481, whole genome shotgun sequence.
AUGGUACUCCCUCCGAUCCGUAUUACUUGUCGCUCAAGUGGAUGUAUCUAGAAAUUUUUCAGUGCUAGAUACAUCUGUUUGGCGACAAGUAAUAUGGAUUGGAGGGAGUUAUAU